rnacentral:rRNA from 1 species
CAAUGGGGGAAACCCUGAUGCAGCCAUGCCGCGUGUGUGAAGAAGGCCUUCGGGUUGUAAAGCACUUUCAGCGAGGAGGAAAGGUUGGCAGCUAAUAUCUGUCAGCUGGACGUUACUCGCAGAAGAAGCACCG